UACGGGGGGGGCAAGCGUUGUUCGGAAUUACUGGGCGUAAAGCGUGCGCAGGCGGUUUUGUAAGCCAGAUGUGAAAUCCCCGAGCUUAACUUGGGAACUGCAUUUGGGACUGCAAGGCUAGAGUACGGCAGAGGGGGGUAGAAUUCCUGGUGUAGCAGUGAAAUGCGUAGAUAUCAGGAGGAAUACCGAUGGCGAAGGCAGCCCCCUGGGUCGAUACUGACGCUCAUGCACGAAAGCGUGGGGAGCAAACAGG
rnacentral:rRNA from 1 species